UACGUAGGGGGCAAGCGUUGUCCGGAAUCAUUGGGCGUAAAGCGCGUGUAGGCGGCUUCGUAAGUCCGUUGUGAAAGUCCAGGGCUCAACCCUGGAAAGCCGAUGGAUACUGCGGAGCUAGAGUCCGGAAGAGGCGAGUGGAAUUCCUGGUGUAGCGGUGAAAUGCGCAGAUAUCAGGAGGAACACCAAUGGCGAAGGCAGCUCGCUGGGACGGUACUGACGCUGAGACGCGAAAGCGUGGGGAGCAAACAGG
rnacentral:rRNA from 1 species